GCAGAUAGUGAUACAUAUCCUAGACUAUCAGAUGAUUACUAAAUUACUGAGGCUAUUGGUCCCCCAGAGGACGUGAGAUAUACUAACCUACCAAUAAAUGAGGCGCUUUAUGAUAGAUGUUUAUUAUAUUUCAAAUGGCCAUUGCACACAUAGGAAGCUAUGUCGGAUUAGAUUAUCUGGAAGCAUUGCCAAAGUGUUUGUAGUAGAGUUGUUUUGUCAUGCUUCCAGUGUAAUCUUAUGUAAUCUUAGCACUAUUUUCUGUUCUUUUGUAGUUGUGUUCAGGAUGAAGAAUUUGGUUUUGCCAUCGCUUACCAAGCUAAACUCAUAGUUAUCAGUUUCCAUGAUAUAUCAUACUGUACCUUCUUUUUUUGGGUUGUGGUUGCACAUUUCUUGUGUUAUGAGAAUGCAUAGAUUGAUUAGUUUUUCGUUGAUUCUCAUUCUAAAGCAACCUAACUCCUCUAUCCAGGUUUGAGUAACGGAUCCUUCAAUUAAGCAAUAUGGAUUACACUUCACUUUAUCACGUGAGUACUCUGUGUUUAAGAUUUCACAUGAUAUUCAAAGUAUAUAUGUCGG
rnacentral:lncRNA from 1 species